GUAGGUGGCAAGCGUUAUCCGGAUUUAUUGGGCGUAAAGGGAACGCAGGCGGAAAGAUAAGUCUGAUGUGAAAGCCUUCGGCCCAACCGGAGAAUUGCAUCAGAAACUGUUGAACUUGAGUGCAGAAGAGGAGAGUGGAACUCCAUGUGUAGCGGUGGAAUGCGUAGAUAUAUGGAAGAACACCAGUGGCGAAGGCGGCUCUCUGGUCUGCAACUGACGCUGAGGCUCGAAAGCAUGGGUAGCGA
rnacentral:rRNA from 1 species